GAACUGCGAAACGUAAUGUGACCUGCACUCUUCGUGAAUCAUCCAAUCUUUGAACGCAAUUUGCACCUCGUGGCUCAUGUCACUUGGUAUACUUGUUUGAGUAUCCAAAUCAAGCUCACCUCCCCCUCGGGGCGAUGUGGAAAUGAGAGCUCGGUGUUCGCCAUCUUUGGAAAUGUCGUCUCUUUAAAUAUAGGCCAGAAAGGAUUGUCUCAGCUGGCGUAUUUUGCGGUGCUGUAAGGCAACUAUUGGGAUAACAUCCUGACAAUAGUGCCGCCUUCACAAGCAUGGCUUUGACAAUCUGGGUCAUCUUGUCCCGAUCUUUGCUAGCAAGGCUAGGUGAAGAUCAGACACACCAUGUAACAUGGAUCUCAAAUCAAGUAGGGUUACCCGCUGAACUUAA
rnacentral:misc_RNA from 1 species